AUACACUUUAAAUAACAACUGACAUAAAAUUUAUCACUUUUUUUAAUUGUGGUAUUACUGUUAAAUUUUUUUGAAAUAUGUUUUUUUUUUUUUAGUUUACAAAGUUAUAUAUAUAUAUACAUAUAUACAUAUUCGUAUUUGUACAUAUGUAUAUAAAAUUGUGUGUUUUUUUUUUUAUAUUUUUUUUUUGAAGCAUACUUAAGUCUGAAUAUUCGUUUGUAAAACAUUUAUGUAAUAAAAAAAACACUAUAAAUAUUGGAAAAAACAUUUUUUUUUUUUUUUUUUUUUGUUAAUCUUAUUAUGGAAAGGAGUUAUAAAAAACCUGUUUAUUCCAAUAGAAAUAAAAUAAAAGAAAUCGAAAAGAGUUGCGAAGAUAGUUUGAACGAAAUAUUAAGGUCGGCUAUUGAAGUUACUGAAAUUUCUAAAAAGGCAGAAGAAGAAUUAGAACAACAAACAGGUAAUAAUGUUUUUUUUUUUUUUUUUUUUUUUUUUUUUUUUUCAUUAUAUAUUCUAUAUUAAAUAAAGCAGUGAGUUUAUAAUAACAUGUAUAACUAUGUUCAUUUUAUUCAAUAUAAGAACAAAAAAAAAAAAAAAAAAGACACAUAUGUAUAUAUAUGUUCAAAUCGUUUUUCACAGAACAGAUAAAACAUAUCAAUGAUGAAACUGACAUUAUUAAAGAUAAAUUAAACCAAAGCCAAUAUCAUUUAGAGGGUAUAAAAUAUUGGUGGAGAAGUAUCAAUUCGUAUUUAGGGUUGGAAACUCUUAAUAAUAAUGAAAAUAAACAAACAAAUAAUUCAGACACUAAUUAUGCAAAAAAGGGAAGAGUUCAUACAAAUAAUAAAAAUACUACUGUAAAAAAUUAUAACAGAAUUUAUGAAAAUACACAGAAUAUUAAAGAAAAUCAAUCAGAAAAAAAAAGCUUCGAUGAGAAAUAUGAAAGCGAAUUAAACACCCUUUCUUCUAUAUUGGACGAACUGCAUGAUAGGGCGUUGGUUAUGGGGAACACAAUUAACGAGCAGAACAAACUAGUAAGUAAAAAACGGCAGAAAUAUAUAUAUAUAUAUGUCCGUGUGUGUAUAUGUAUACAUUUUUAUUUAUUUAUAUAUGAAUCGCAUGUGGAUAAGUCAAUCACAUGAUACUUAUAUAUUUAUAAGUUUGUUUGUUUUUAAUAUUAUAUAAUUAUUUUAAAUAGUUCUAUAAUUUUUUUUCCAUCUAAAAUCAUACACGCAUACGAGCGCACACAAAUUUUCAAUUUCAUGUAGAAUAUAUACAAUGCUUUUCUUUUUAUAUCAUUCGAUUCUGUUUUGUAUCAUGUUGUUCCUUUUCAUGUUGUUCCGUUUUAUGUUGUUUCGUUUUAUGUUGUCCCGUUUCAUAUUGCCCCGUCCCAUGUUGCACCGUUUCAUGUUACCCCAUUCCAUUUUGAUCUUUUUUCUUUUAUAUUAUAAAAUUAUAGUUAACUGGUGUAAAUGAAAAAAUGGAACAUAACAUAGAAAAGAUACAGGAUCAGCAAAAAUUAAUGAAAGAAAUAAUGAAAAAAUAAAUGUGUUACACAUUAUAUUAAUUCA
ensembl:lncRNA